GGUACGUGGGCCUCUGACUGUUGUGGCCUCUCCCGUUGCGGAGCACAGGCUCCGGACGCACAGCCUCAGCGGCCAUGGCUCACGGGUCCAGCCGCUCCACGGCAUGUGGGAUCUUCCCGGACCAGGGCACGAACCCGUGUCCCCUGCAUCGGCAGGCGGACUCUCAACCACUGCGCCACCAGGGAAGCCCCUAGAAAUUGCUUUUUUGAUGCCAAUGUUAAAUCUCUGCUAUAUACUUGUUUUCUAGUGACCUCCGUUUUUUGUGUGUUUUUUUUUUUUAAUAAAGUGGGACAUAGGAAGAAAAACCAAACCAAAACAAGACUAAUUACUAAAAGGUUCUUAAUAGUUGAGUUCCAGUUUUACUACUUCCUAUACAGGGAACUCUGAACAUUGGUGCCAUUGAUUUUUUCUGUCUUGCUUCUUACCCCCUCACCCAAGAGAGUUAAAAGUGCAAUGUUGGUUAAGGAGAAAAUAUUGAAAGCAAGCAAGUCUGUAACAUUGAUGUAAGGAGAAAAAAAUCACAGGUCUCUGUAGCAUAAAUGCCUAGUUUUAAUUACGCAGGUGAAGUUUUCCUUUAAAUUAGACUGCCAAAAUGGAAACUCAGAAUAGUAUACUAGAACAGUCUAGGAGUCCCUGCAGAGGGCAGAAGCACAGAGCCUUGUGGUUUUUUCCACCCAGAGUUCAGAUGAGCACUUUCUUCAACUCAGAUAGAUUCUCUAUCUUAUUUUCCAGCCUGGUGCAGUGGAAAAAGCACUCAUUUGGAUCAGAAGGACUCGAGUCCCUAUCUCUCUCUACAAAUUCUUAAAUAUUUGCUAAUAUUAAUAUUUAUUCCAUAAUACUGCAGUGAGAUUUAAUACUAUAACAUUAGAUAAUCCCAUACAUGGAGUCUCAGUAGGUAUGUGGUCCCUCUACCAGCCCACUUAACCAUCUAAUAUAGAACAAUAAAUAUAAUACUGGUUUCUAUUUCUCAUCAUGUUGUUGUCUAUUAAGAAUAAGAACCUCAAAAAAAAAAAAAAAAAAGAAAGACCACCUCAAGAGAUGGUCUUGUUCAGCCAUUGUGCUCUACUAGAAGAGGCAUCAUCUCCAGUUUUACAGAUACAACCACUUAACAAAUACAACCAAGACAUAAAAAAGAAUUAAUUAACUUGUCCAAGGUCAAGCAUAUCUUUCUAUUCUAGAUUGUCAGGAGUUCAGUGCCAUUCUUGAGAGGGUUGUCAUUGGGAGAGAUUGAUUUGGCUCAUAAAUCCUGAGAAGCUAAAUGCAAUGAGGGGAAGUUUCGGACAAGGGCCAGCCUGAGCUCAGUUGUAGCUCUUCUGAACUCAAGACACAGAAUGGGAAAAUUGACACCAAGGUGGUCGCCCAGGGAAUAUGCUCUGAGAGGUGUCAAGGAAGACCCUCUGGCAAAAUGUAUCCUAAGUGCCAUUGUUUGGAAUUUCAUAAGAGUUCCAUCUUUUGGGUUAAGCUGGGCCCUUAACUUUUUUCUUCUUUUUUCUAUUCAUUCAAGGAUUGUUCAUUGAGCAUUAAUAAUGUACUAAUGCAGUAUUAGGGAAUGGAACAAAAGAAAAUAAAACUGGGUCAGCUAUUAAGAUGUUCACAGUCUAAUGAAGGAGACAGAGAAGAAUAAUAAUGACAAAAGUAGCUAACAUUUUCCGCAUGCCAGACACUGCAAAAUAAUUUAUAGCUAUUUUCUCUCCUAACUCUCAUAUCAGACCUAAGAAUUAAAAGCUAUUUAAAACCCCAUUUUCCAGAGGAAAAUGGAAUCCUGAAGGGGUAGACAAUAUUUUAAGGAAACUGGCCUAGGUUAAGUCCAUGGGAAUAAAGAUGGAGAGGAAAGGAUAAAGAAUCAACCAAGACUGUUUCCUAAUCCUUUACUGGUUGCUGUUUCUAAUAUCAUUUGCAAGUUUCUCCUCUUCUCACCAACUUUCUGAUGUUGGAAAGUCCCAGGGCUCACUCCUUAUUUUUUACUUGUCUAUUCUUAUGUUCUUGCUUAGUGAACUUAAUUUAAUCCUAUAACUGUAAAAACCAUCCAUAUGCUGACGAUUCCAAAAUUAAUUUCUCUAGCCCAACCUCUUUCUCAUACUCCAAACUUAUAUAUGCAACUGCCUGCAUAAAACCUACACUUACUUAGAUAUCUAGUAGACACCUCAAACUUAAUAUGUUCAAAGAUGAACUCAGCUUCCCCUAGACCUGCUCCACCUACCCCAGUUUAUAACUCUAUCCUUCUAGCUGUUCAGGACAAAAAUCUUGGAGUCAUUCCUGACUCCUCUUGUCCUCAUUCCCCAUAUUUCAAUCUGUCAAGAAAUCUCGUUGAAGAGUAACACCGCCAGUUAAUAAGACACUUUGUCACCGUGUAUAUUCCGAUAUGAUGCAUAGAGAAAGAAAUACAUCUUGUCUGUCAUAUUUUUUUUGCCAAAAAUGCAAUCCAAUUAUGAGAAAAUAUCAGACAAACCUAUAUUGUGGGACAUUCUACAAAAUAACUGACCAUUACUCAUCGAGAAUGCCAAGGUCGUGAAACACAAGGAAAUACUGAGGAACUGUGUGUCACAGAUUGGAGGAAAUUAUGAAGACACAAGUACUAAAUGCAGUGUGGGAUCCUGGCACAGAGAAAUGACAUUGAGAGAAACCGGAGAAAGUUGAAUGAAGUUUGUAAUUUAGUUAAUCGUAUUGUAUCAUUGUUAAUUUCCUGGUUUUAAAUAAUAACAACUGCAAUUAAGUAAGUUGUAAAUAUUUGGGGAAGCUGAGUGAUGGGUAUAUGGGAACUCUCUCUUUUUUUUUUGCAACAUUUCUGUAAGUCUAAAAUUAUUUCAAAAUGAAGGGAAAAAGAAGACCAAGACUAAAAAGAAAAAGAAAUCUUGUUGGACCUUCCAUUGGAAUUUAUGUAGAAUCUGGUCACUUCUUCUAACCUCUGUUGAAACCACUUUGAUUCAAGAUAUAAUUAUCUCUCACUUGGAUUAUUGUAAUAACCUUCUAAUUGGUCUUUUUGUUUCUGUUCCUGCUUCCUCAGUUUCCAGUGCAGUAGCCGGAAUAAUUCUCUUCUAAGUAAAAACAUGAAAUCCUACAUUUUUUCCACGUUGGACUUUGGUAAAAGUCAAAGUUCUUACAUGGAAGCCCAAGACCUCAUACCCUCUGGCCCUCAGUUGCCCCUCUGGCCUCCUCUGGUACCACUCUCCCACCCUUUCACUUGCUUCAGCCAUACUGACCACUUUGCUGUUCUGUGAACAGACCAGGAACAUUCUCAUUGGACAACCUGUGCACUGGCUGUUCCCUCUGCCAGGGAACAUUCUUCCUCCAGAUACCAUCAUGGCUAUGCCCCUGUGCUUGAAUAGCACAUCUCAGUGAGGCCUACCUGCCCUCUUUGUUAAAAGUUUCAACCCCGACUGCCCACUCAUGUGUCACUCCCAAUCCUCUUAAUUCUACUUAAAAUUUUUUUCCCAUUACACUUCUCAUUCUCUAAGAGACUGUUUAAGUUACUUAUCUGUCAUCAUCAUUGUCAUCGUUAUCAUUGUCAUCAUUAUCACCAUUAUUAGGAAGGGUCCGGUCUGUCAAAACUUGAAUGUAAACUCUAGGAGGGCAGGGCUCUUUUCCCACUUUGCUUGCUGAUAUAUCCCAAGAGCCUAGAAACAUUCCUGGCACGGAAUAGGCAUUCCAUAGAUACUUGUUGAUAAACUGAAUAGAAGGUAGAAUAGACAAGAAUUGAACAUUGCUUUGAUGGUAAAGGAAAGGAUAGGGUGUAUCGAAAUUCUAUGACUAUGGAUCUGGGUUAUGGGAAGGAAGACUGCUCCACUAGUCAGUACAGAAAGACAGAUUGACAAUGGAAGAUAUCGGUUGACUAUUCCUGUGCACAUGUCCAACAUAUUGUUCAAUGUGUAGCUCUGCAACUCAGGGUAGAGAUCUGGGGUGGAGAGAGAAAUUUGGAAGUCUUCUCCUGUAAUGGUAGGCUUGAAAAGAACGAGAAAAGGAAGGUCUCUUGCAGUUUUGAAUAUCCUUGUUUAUAAUGACCAGGUCCUCACAGGAGGAAGUCUGAGUGAUGUGGAGCUCUGGAAGGCUGGGGUGGGUGUGGAUGGAGAAGAUCACAAAGGAACGUGACUGGGUGCCUGAGACACACUUUACCUACUUCCCAAUUUGACAUAAGGCCAAAGGUUGAGGGAGGGGAAGGAUUAGAGAAUGCACAUAGCAGUUCCUUGUCAUUUAAGGUAAAGCAGAACCAAAAGGUGAUAGGGCAGAACCCCUAAUGCCUUACCCAAAAUGGAGCAAAUCAGACUUAACAUAUGUGCAAUUUUUGUAUUAUCACUGAGCUGCAGUUAGGGGAGGGUGUGGGGACACUAAUGAGGUGUGGGGGGAGGAUCAUGGCCUAGUUCUUAAUCUCCUAAACUUUAACAGCCCAAGGAGCACUCUGUGGUGUUUCUCUCAAGUCUCUCAGGCUAUCACCUUGUCCCUUCUUCAGAGCAUAAUUUUGUCAUGAAAGCUUUCACUUGGCAAGAAUCCGAUUCAUCAAGAAAGAUAGAACUCUGUGCUUGCACGCUUCAAGCAGAGGGAAAGUCUACUUUGGCAAGCUUUACAAGGAAAGAGAGAAAAGAAAAUAAGAGCCAUAAAUCAACUGGAGGCCAGAAUACAGGAUUAAAGAUACUCGAUCCAUUUCAGAAAGGACUUCUGCUUGCAUAUGUUUACCUAAUGACCCUUUCUUCCCCUAUCGGCCUGUAGAUCCUCCCUUCGUUUGAGCUGGGCAAGUGACAUCUCACGUCACAGGCUGCCUCGGGGAAAGAGGAGACUGCAUGGAGACUGGCGUAGGUUUACUCCUCUGUCACCCCUAUGGGUUAAGAACAGCUCUACACCCCAUCAUGAGUCACCCAGCCUUGUGGCUGACAGGUCUUGGUGCUCCAGCCGGGUGUCAGGCCUGUGCCUCUGAGGAGGGAAAGCUGAGUUCAGUACAUGGGUCUACCAGAGACCUCCCCGCUCCAUGUAAUAUCAAACAGUGAAGGUUCUCCCAGAGAUCUCCAUGUCAAUACUAAGACCCAGCUCCACUCAAUGACCAGCAAGCUACAGUGCUGGACACCCUAUGCCAAACAACUAGCAAGACAGGAACACAACCCCACCCAUUAGCAGAGAGGCUGCCUAAAAUCAUAAUAAGGUCACAGGCACCCCAAAACACACCACUGGAUGCGGUCCUGCCCACCAGAAAGACAAGAUCCAGCCUCAUCCACCAGAACACAGGCACCAAUCCCAUCCACCAGGAAACCUACACAACCCAGUGAACCAGACUUACCCACAGGGGGCAGACACCAAAAACAACAGUAACUGCAAACCUGCAGCCUGCAAAAAGGAGACCCCAAACACAGUAAGUUAAGUAACAUGAGAAGACAGAGAAACACACACCAGAUGUAGGAGCAAGGUAAAAACCCAUCAGACCAAACAAAUGAAGAGGACAUAGGUAGUCUACCUGAAAAAGAAUUCAGAGUAAUGAUAGUAAGAUGAUCCAAAAUCCUGGAAAUAAGAUGGAGAAAAUAAAAGAAACGUUUAACAAGGACCUAGGAGAACUAAAGGGCAAACAAACAGUGAUGAACAACACAAUAGAUGAAAUUAAAAAUUCUCUAGAAGGAAUCCAUAGCAGAAUAACUGAGGCAGAAGAACGGAUAAGGGACCUGGAAGAUAAAAUAGUGGAAAUAACUAUGGCAGA